GCCUCGGCGGUGUAGUGGUAGCACGUGCUCCCGGAACGGAUGAACGUGGGUUCAACUUCCGCCUGGGGUC